GUGGGGAAUUUUGGACAAUGGGCGCAAGCCUGAUCCAGCCAUGCCGCGUGCAGGAUGAAGGCCUUCGGGUUGUAAACUGCUUUUGUACGGAACGAAAAGGUGCCUUCUAAUAAAGGGCGCUCAUGACGGUACCGUAAGAAUAAGCACCGGCUAACUACGUGCCAGCAGCCGCGGUAAUACGUAGGGUGCGAGCGUUAAUCGGAAUUACUGGGCGUAAAGCGUGCGCAGGCGGUUUUGUAAGACAGAGGUGAAAUCCCCGGGCUCAACCUGGGAACUGCCUUUGUGACUGCAAGGCUGGAGUGCGGCAGAGGGGGAUGGAAUUCCGCGUGUAGCAGUGAAAUGCGUAGAUAUGCGGAGGAACACCGAUGGCGAAGGCAAUCCCCUGGGCCUGCACUGACGCUCAUGCACGAAAGCGUGGGGAGCAAACAGGAUUAGAUACCCCAGUAGUCC
rnacentral:rRNA from 1 species